GGAUUUCAAGGAAGGAAUGAUGUUUUCAUUGAGACCCAAGAAAAGGAUUCUGAGCCUCAGAGCUUUGAACAAACCACUUGGUCCCUGACCUUCCUUAAGGAAAU
rnacentral:snoRNA from 1 species